AUGAAGGAUUGGCCAAGAUUGGUGCCAAGCUCAGGGAGAUCGGUGAUGACUUUGAUGAGAAGAGGAUCCAGCCCCUGAUUCAGGACCUUCAAAAAGCAUCGUCUGAACAGGUACACUGUGCCUUAAAGUAACACUAUACAAGAAUUUGACACUUUUUGAGGUAUGGUUUUAUAGGAAACAAUUUUUUUUACCAUCCUCAAAUUCAUUUUGAUAGCAUAUGGUCAUGUGAAGGACACCUGUGUCUUUCCCACUAGCCAUCCAGGAUAUGCACUAUGUAGUUCUGUGUUUCCUGGCUGGAAGACCUUGCAAAAAUGGAAGAAAAUCUUUUACAGCAUGACAUUGCCAGCUUUACUGCCAAAAGACACCAGUUAGUGUGUUGGCAUUGGCAAGCCUCUAUCAGUUUAAACUGGGCUGUUGGUGGUGUUAGCAAGGUUUUUGCAUGCUUUUUAAGUAGUUAGCGUGCUAGUUUUGAAACAGAUCUCCGUAUUGCUGCCUUAAGUCACCAACAAUAUUACCAUUUAUUUUCAUCCCUCAGAAAAAAUGAAUCUAGAAAUGGGUAAUGAACCACGUUUAUGUACAUCAUAAUUUUUUUUAGUGGACUGAAUCUUUCCGUUUCUAUUCAGCAUUGGCUAUUUUUAAAGUUUUUUUUCUCUUUUAUAUUUUAAUAAAUAAAAGCAAUGUUGUAUUGAGUAAUGAAACAUGCUAUUCGGCCUCCUACCAGCAGGUGGCGGCGGUGUUCGGCAGCUGUGUGGACACCCUGUGCCAGUCAUGGGUGGCGCAGCGAUCCGAGGUGGCACCGGAGAUGAACAUGCUAAAAGCGUCAGUGGCCUUGGGGCUCUACGUGAAGAAGAACUGCCCAGACAUGGUGCCCUUCGUACACAGCGCCAUGACUAACUUCCUCAACACGCGCCUCGGGAACUGGGUGACUUCACAAGGAGGCUGGGACAACGCUGUCUCCUGCUAGAGGCAGCUCGGCUGGGAAAGUCCAUACUGAGUUGGCCUGUCAAUCAAGACCUCACCACAUCCUACACUGUCAAUCAAGACCUCACCACAUCCUACACUGUCAAUCAAGACCGCACCACAUCCUACACCUGUCAAUCAAGACCGCACCACAUCCUACACCUGUCAAUCAAGACCUCACCACAUCCCCUCUGGAACACACACACCUGUCAAUCAAGCCCUCACCACAUCCCCUCUGGAACACACACACCUGUCAAUCAAGACCUCACCACAUCCCCUCUGGAACACACACACCUGUCAAUCAGGACCUCACCACAUCCCCUCUGGAACACACACACCUGUCAAUCAAGACCUCACCACAUCCCCUCUGGAACACACACACCUGUCAAUCAGGACCUCACCACAUCCCCUCUGGAACACACACACCUGUCAAUCAGGACCUCACCACCUCCCCUCUGGAACACACACACCUGUCAAUCAGGACUGUUGGCUAUAAAGCCAUGGAAACCAUCAGGUCGCUCAGUGCCAUCUCCUCAGAAUAACAGUCCCAUGAUGCCCUGGGCUUUAUAUUAACAGUCCCGUGAUGCCCUGGGCUUAAUAUUAAUACAGUCUGUAGUGGAGCCGAGGGCCAACACUGUAGUAGUAGUAGUAGCAGUAGUAGUAGUAGUAGCAGCAUUAGUAGUAAUAGUAGUAGUAGCAGUAGUAGUAUAAGCAGCAGCAGCAUUAGUAGUAAUAGUAGUAGUAGCAGUAAUAGCAGCAGCAUUAGUAGUAAUAAUAGUAGUAGCAGCAGUAGUAGUAUAAGCAGCAGCAGCAGCAUUAGUAGUAAUAGUAGUAGUAGCAGUAGUAGCAGCAGCAGCAUUAGUAGUAAUAGUAGUAGUAGCAGUAGUAGCAGCAGCAGCAUUAGUAGUAGUAGUAGAUGUAGUAUUAGCAGUAGCAGAAGUAGAAAUCACCAAAUCGCCAGUACCUCCAAAUCACUGCACGCUGAUUUUGAUUGAUUGAUUUAGUCCAGCUCACAUCACGUGCCUCCUGUGACACACCUGUACCUGUGGAUUGCAAUCAAUGACCGUGAAUCAUCCACACCAGGUAUCAUUGUCAGGCCUUUGUAAUAUUUAAUAUCAAAUUUUGUAAUAUUUCAUAGUUUAGUCUUUCAAAUAUGUGUAACGAGCUCACAAAAAGCGUGGGCAGCACAGAUUCUUUGUGAGCUGCACCAAAUCUUUCUUGAACAUGUUAAAUGUGUGUUGUGUGUUAGUGUGUGUAUUUUAAGUCUUUCUGGGGCGGUUGUGUGGUUAUCAAUGGUGCUGUCCCGGGGUUAGUGUAGCGGCCUUUCACAUCCACUGCCAGUCUUUAGAGUGGACGGCAAAGGACAAUCACCUGAACACGCACCUACUUCCAUCACGUGUCUUAAUGUGAAUGUCAUUUUUAAAAGGCUUUUUAAUGAUGACUUUUCUAAUUCUUCCCUUAAACCAUCUUCACUAUCCAAGGGGGAAGGGACCAUAUCAGGGAAGGGGGCAUAUCAGAGAAGUGUGUCAUAGCUAGAUAUGCUAAAUGAUAUUGUCUAAGAAUGUGUUUAUCA
rnacentral:lncRNA from 1 species